AUAUAUCAACCUCUCAAGCUUUUGCUUGUGGAGUGUAGGGAUUAUUUUGCUGGCCUUUUCAUGAGGUCGGCUCCCCUGAAAUGCAUUGGCAGUUGCUGACCGUUUAUUGGUGUGAUAACUAUCUACGCUGUUGACGUGAAGCAAGUUCAGCUUAUAAUGGUCCAUUGACUUGGACAACAUAUUUAUUA
rnacentral:misc_RNA from 1 species